rnacentral:tRNA from 1 species
GCCUGGCUGGCUCAGUGGGUGGAGCAUGAGACUCUUGAUCUCAGGGUUGUGAGUUUGAGCCCCAUGAUGGGUG